rnacentral:rRNA from 1 species
AGUCGACGAUGACCCCCAGCUUGCUGGGGUGAUUAGUGGCGAACGGGUGAGUAACACGUGAGUAACCUGCCCCUGACUCUGGGAUAAGCCCGGGAAACUGGGUCUAAUACUGGAUAUGCACCGUGGACCGCAUGGUCCUUGGUGGAAAGAUUUUUUGGUCAGGGAUGGACUCGCGGCCUAUCAGCUUGUUGGUGAGGUAAUGGCUCACCAAGGCGACGACGGGUAGCCGGCCUGAGAGGGUGACCGGCCACACUGGGACUGAGACACGGCCCAGACUCCUACGGGAGGCAGCAGUGGGGAAUAUUGCACAAUGGGCGAAAGCCUGAUGCAGCGACGCCGCGUGAGGGAUGACGGCCUUCGGGUUGUAAACCUCUUUCAGUAGGGAAGAAGCGAAAGUGACGGUACCUGCAGAAGAAGCGCCGGCUAACUACGUGCCAGCAGCCGCGGUAAUACGUAGGGCGCAAGCGUUAUCCGGAAUUAUUGGGCGUAAAGAGCUCGUAGGCGGUUUGUCGCGUCUGCCGUGAAAGUCCGAGGCUCAACCUCGGAUCUGCGGUGGGUACGGGCAGACUAGAGUGAUGUAGGGGAGACUGGAAUUCCUGGUGUAGCGGUGAAAUGCGCAGAUAUCAGGAGGAACACCGAUGGCGAAGGCAGGUCUCUGGGCAUUAACUGACGCUGAGGAGCGAAAGCAUGGGGAGCGAACAGGAUUAGAUACCCUGGUAGUCCAUGCCGUAAACGUUGGGCACUAGGUGUGGGGGACAUUCCACGUUUUCCGCGCCGUAGCUAACGCAUUAAGUGCCCCGCC